UCCAGCAGAGGGAGCUGUCAUACACCUUAAUUAUACAGGAAUGUCUGUAUUUACAUUUUUAAAUGUUCAUGGGCUGCUCUAGUUUGUCUGCAAAUAACUCUGCCUCCAGCAACAGGAUUGGUCGAAACAUAUGAAGUGAAAGAAAUAAAAGCCCAGUUCACCAGAUCUGAGGUCAGCUGCGGUCAGAUUUUGGAUCAUGAAUGUAUUGAGUGAACGACGUCUGAGCUAAAUAUUAACCACCUGGAACGGCCGAAUCUCAUUCCUUUGCUCCAAGGAAAAUCUCAGCCCUACCCCUCGCUGUUGCGCGUUCACGCGCCGUGGAGCCAUGUCCCAAUACCAGUUUAAAGGUAGCUUAAGGGGGAGGGCUAACAUCCCCUCAAAAUUUAGAUUUUCGAUGGGCACACUCAAAGCGCUUCAGUUCUGACUUGCUCCCACAAUACCUUGCGAGAAAACGGAAAAUCAAGAAAUAUCCUAGACAAGAUGGAGGGCGAAAAGAUGCGACAGGAUUGGAAAAACACAAAUGACUUCGUUGAGUCCACUGCCACCAGCCCCCCCCACCUCUCCCUCAUGCUCCUCCACCCCAGGCACCUCUUCCACCACCCCAGACACCCCUUCCACGAGGAGAGUGCCAGGGAGCAGGUGAGGCAUGGGGAGAGCGAGGCAAAGUUGGCGGAAUGGUGGAGAAGAUGUGAUUCUCCACCAUUCUCUCAAAAGCUGAGAGUGUGUGUGUGUGUGUGUGUGUGUGUAUUUUUAGGUGUGCGUGUGUGUGUAUUUUUAGAUGCGUGUGUAUGUAUUUUUAGAUGUGUGGUUCAGUGUUUCUUAUUUAAAUAAAGUGUUUCUUCUAAAGUGUUCUUGUUCUUAACCGAUUAUUAUCUAAUACCACCUUUAA